AAGAUAUUAGUAAACACAUUACAUAACUUUGUCAAGGUUAAAUCACAGACUCAACCCUGUAUAUCUUA
rnacentral:tRNA from 2 species